rnacentral:rRNA from 1 species
UACGGAGGGUGCAAGCGUUGUUCGGAAUCAUUGGGCGUAAAGCGUGCGCAGGCGGCUUGUUAAGUUCGUUGUGAAAGCCCCGGGCUCAACCUGGGAACUGCAUUUGAAACUGGCGGGCUUGAGUGCGGCAGAGGGGGGUGGAAUUCCGCGUGUAGCAGUGAAAUGCGUAGAGAUGCGGAGGAACACCGAUGGCGAAGGCAGCCCCCUGGGCCAACACUGACGCUCAUGCACGAAAGCGUGGGGAGCAAACAGG